GGAUGUGAGGGCAAUUUGGCUGUGAUAUCUGUCACCCCACUGAUCGCCACAGUUGAUGCAGCUGAUCUGGCUGGCUCCUCCCUCACUGCUCCACGUGAAUCCCUGUGGAAGAGGACAACCACACCGAUAGAGGAGGACUGUUUCCUUGGUCAAGGGUAUACAACUACCUGUGCUUCCCUGCUGGAACCUCCAAACAAGCUCUCAAAUAAUUGUGCACACAGAAUUAGUGCAAAAGAAGUAAGCACAUAUUGAACUCUGGUUGAUGUAAUGAAUUUUGGGGAGUAA
rnacentral:snRNA from 1 species